AUUGAACGCUGGCGGCAUGCCUUACACAUGCAAGUCGAACGGUAACAGGUCUUCGGUUGCUGACGAGUGGCGAACGGGUGAGUAAUACAUCGGAACGUGCCUAGUAGUGGGGGAUAACUACUCGAAAGAGUGGCUAAUACCGCAUGAGAUCUACGGAUGAAAGCAGGGGAUCGCAAGACCUUGUGCUACUAGAGCGGCCGAUGGCAGAUUAGGUAGUUGGUGGGAUAAAAGCUUACCAAGCCGACGAUCUGUAGCUGGUCUGAGAGGACGAUCAGCCACACUGGAACUGAGACACGGCCCAGACUCCUACGGGAGGCAGCAGUGGGGAAUUUUGGACAAUGGGCGCAAGCCUGAUCCAGCAAUGCCGCGUGCGGGAUGAAGGCCUUCGGGUUGUAAACUGCUUUUGUACGGAACGAAAAGCCGUGGGUUAAUACCCUGAGGUCAUGACGGUACCGUAAGAAUAAGCACCGGCUAACUACGUG
rnacentral:rRNA from 1 species